UACGGGGGGUGCAAACGUUGUUCGGAAUUACUGGGCGUAAAGCGCGUGUAGGCGGCUAUGUAAGUCGGGCGUGAAAUCCCACGGCUCAACCGUGGAAGUGCACCCGAAACUGCGUAGCUAGAGUCCUGGAGAGGAAGGUGGAAUGCUUGGUGUAGAGGUGAAAUUCGUAGAUAUCAAGCGGAACACCGGUGGCGAAGGCGGCCUUCUGGACAGUGACUGACGCUGAGACGCGAAAGCGUGGGGAGCAAACAGG
rnacentral:rRNA from 1 species